rnacentral:rRNA from 1 species
UACGGAGGGUGCAAGCGUUGUCCGGAUUUAUUGGGUUUAAAGGGUGCGUAGGUGGCUAAUUAAGUCAGUGGUGAAAGCCUGCAGCUCAACUGUAGAGGUGCCAUUGAUACUGGUUAGCUUGAGUAUGGACGAGGUAGGCGGAAUUUGUGGUGUAGCGGUGAAAUGCAUAGAUACCACAAAGAACACCAAUAGCGAAGGCAGCUUACUGGACCAUAACUGACACUGAGGCACGAAAGCGUGGGGAGCGAACAGG